CCGAGUGAGGGCCCUCUGGGUCCAACCUCCCACCCGUGUUUACCGUACCCUGUUGCUUCGGCGGGCCCGCCCUCAGCGGCCGCCGGGAUGGCCCCUUGCGCCUCCGGGCCCGCGCCCGCCGAAGACACCAUUGAACGCUGUCUGAAGAUUGCAGUCUGAGCAUCUUAGCUAAAUCAGUUA
rnacentral:misc_RNA from 1 species